GGGACUGUGACUCAGUGGUAGAGUGCCUGCCUAGCAUGCAUGAAGGCCUGGGUUCUAUUCCUCAGUACUG
rnacentral:tRNA from 1 species